AUUUUAUUCAUUCCUCCAGGGCGUGAUGUUAAUAACCCGCAAACAUAUUUCUCCUCUUGCAUUUUGAGAAGUGAAAGUGAAGCAGAUUCAGAAUAUUUUCUGAGAAUAUGCACUUUCAAGUCUUCUUCAAAAUUGCAGCGAAAUGUUCUGCAAGUUUUGUCGAACUACUGUUAUUGUGCCUGACGUCGAAUCUGAGCCCAUUAAACCUUUUGUUUAAUUGUUCGAGAUGCCAUUUAUUUAUUCGAAAAUAAAUGUCAUCUACAUUCGUAAUAUUCUUUUCUGUAAUUAGUAUUAUUAUUUAUCAUUACUUAAUUAAUAUAGUAGUUUUCAGUCAAAACAAUAACAAUUGCUACAGUCAUGACCAAGAUUCCAAGAACAUGGUUUCGGACGCUGAUUGAUCGUGUCUUAUCUAUAAUAAUAAUAAUAAUAAUAAUAAUAAUAAUAAUAAUAAUAAUAAUGAAAUUAUUGUAUACAGUGCUCAGGUGCACCACAACUUGUCAAAAGUGCGUAUAAAGCAUCUGCAGUAAUGUACAAAUGUCUGGAAAGUGAACAGUGUAUGACUCAGAUACAUGCUUGCAUAUGUAUGGAGGGGAGAAAAUCAGGUGUAGUGUUGGCCAAUCUCAGGAAGCAUGGAAGUUUUGAAUGAUGCAGUGCUCCGACAACUAACAACUGAUGUUCCAUGCUUCAGCAACUCUUAGCGUGAAAAAAUGUUUCCGAAAGUCAUGGAAGGAGCUGUGCUGUUUUCUGACUUUAUAAACAUGUCCACGGGUGUUAGACAGGUGGAGUUUGAAAAGGUGCGCAGAGUUAUUGUUUGUAAGAUGGUUAAUAAUUUUAUGGGUGUCUACCAAGUCAGCUGCCAGACGUCGGAGUUUCAAUGUAUCCUUGCCCAGGGAAGUAAGGCGUUCAGAUUAUGGCAAAUGCCUGAUGGAGGGUAUUCCCUUGGUUGCACGUCGCUGAACGGCUUCCAGACGAUAUGUUUGUGCGUGUGUCUGUAAAUGCUUAUGCCCGCGUGUGUGUGUGUGUUUGUAUGUAUGUGAAUGAGUGUGUGUGAGUGUGAGUGCUUGUGCUUGUGUGUGUGAGUGUUUUUAUGUAUGCGUGUGUGUGUGUGUUUGUGUGCGUGUUUGUGCAUGUAUGUGUGCGUGUGCGUGUGUGUGUUUGUAUAUAUAUAUAUGUGUGUGUGUGUGUGUGAGUGUGUGUGUGUGAACAUGUGUGUGAAUGUACGUGUGAGUGUGUGCAUGUGUGUGUGUGGGGAUGUGUGUAUGUGAGUUUGUGUGAGUGUUUGUGUGGGCGUGUGUGAGUGUGUGUGUUUGUGUGUGCAUGGGUGUGUAAGUAUGUGAGUGUGUGUGUUCGUGUUCGUGUGUGUGUGUGUGUGUGUGUGCGUGUGUGUACGUAUGUGCACGAGUGCAUGUGCGUGUGUACCUUUAUAUUUGCAAGUGGUCAUUCGAAGGUCACUGCUCCAUCAUUCGUUGAAAGAAAGAAUUUGAACUAAAGAUUUAUAAAACUUGUUUCUUUUAAUGUGAUUCUUUAUCUCUAUAGAUUCACACACACACAUACACACACACACACACACACACACACACACACACACACACACACACACACACACAGAUACAUACAUAUAUACAUACAUUUUCAAGAGACGUCAUUGAUGUCUGUCAUUGUAUUGAGACUGAUGUCCCUAAAGUAGAAAAAUCUCUAGCAACAUUUGGGGCUUGUUUGAAUUGAAUAAAUUGAUGUCGCUGUGGUGGAAAAAUCUAUGGUUAUUUAGCAUUAGAGAGAAUCCAUUCCAUUUUAAAAGAAGCUGUGAUGUUUGUAAUUUGAAAGACAGCCUCUUCUUGCAAGACGGCAGGGAAGUGGAGAGCCUCCCUGUAUUGAGUGUUCCGUAUCCUUCUUAGAAAUGGGCCCCCGAUAUCAUUGGAGCGCCAAUAUCGAUGAGUCCUCAAAUAUCGCGUGGGAUCCCAAUAUCGCGGGGUCUGCCAAUAUCAACGGAGCUCAGGAGAAUUGUCCUUGGCACCCCUAUAAACAGUGCAACAUAGAAUAUCCUCUGCCUGUUACAAGACAUUCAGUGAAGCAUGGACUCGAAAGUUCGCAUGAGAACACAGUGCCACAAGAAACUUUAUUAAUUCAAAAUUAUUCCUAGCUUCAUACAUCUGCGUUUUCAAUUCGAAUAUGGCCUCGUUCAAAUGUCAUUCCAGUUUCACAGGUUUUCAUACAAUUAUUAACAUUUAUAAAUUAGGAACAGAGUAAAUCCAAAGAUUGAUUGCAAUCACAAAAUCCUCAAGAAUUCACUAAACUUUAAAUUAGAAAAUAUUACAACAAAAAAUAGAGAGAAAGUUCGUUACAGCAAAAUAUAAACAAUUCCUCUGCCUCGCUGGCCACAAUACUUCUUUUUAUUAGAAAAAUAAACAAUAAGAUAGAUUUACAUUCAGUUUAUAAUGAAUAUUUUCCGGAAUUUCUUGCAAUUAAAAGUUUCUCAGAACCCAUUUAAUGGUAAAUGAAGAAUGAAUACAACAAAAAUCAAUGGAGAAAUGGAAACAACAAAACAAGAUUUCCUGGGAUAUUUCGACCAAAAUAUUUAUGUAUAUUAAUUAAUUUACAUUUUACUUUAAAUAAAUAUUCUCCAUUUCAAAAACUUACAAAAUGAAGAAAAUACAUUAUUCUUCAUUAAUUUGACUUGUUCAAUCUUUCUUUAUUUACAGAUAACCAAAUAUGGCUGCCAUGCAGACGAUAACAGCAGCGACCAGUUCUCUUAUUCUUUCAGUCAUUCUUAUUGUCACACUGACAUCACUAAACAUCGAUGCGAAGGAACUCGACAAUGAUUGUGAAAUUCAAAUUUCUCCCAAUGUCAGUGAGAUUUUAUUUCGUUUAGUAAAAUUAGAAAAAAAGAUUUUCAAUUUUGAAGUUCAUUUAUCUGAUAAAAAAUUUGAUAACCUACUAAACCCUAUACCUUUGGAUUAUUUUGCAAAUGCGAGACAUUUUACCUGGAUUCCAGAUGAACCAGAUGGUUUAAUAGCAUAUAAAAAGUUUUUCUAUGAUUUCUCAAUUCACUCUUUUAAUUUGUUAGAUGUCUACAUUGCUAAUCCAAGGAUUGAUAUCAAUAUACACUGUAGAAAACAAAAUAUCCAGAGACACGAUUUAAUAUAUUUGAUUUUCGAGGAACUGAAAAAAAUCUUAUUUAUCCCUAAAUUGCAUAAAGGAAAAUCUGGAUACAUGUGUUUUUAUAUAAAUUUGUCUUAUGAUAUGAAGAAGAACAACCCUAGCACCCUUGAAGCUUACAGAAGAAUUGGUAUAAACCGAGAGAUACUGAAGAACUAUUGCUGUGAGAUCUAUAAAAAUGGAACCUAUGUUUAUCAUCCCAAAUCUAUUUGUUCGGGGAAAAUCAUUGAAAAUGCUAUGUUUGUCAAUUUUGAGAACAUCGUUGGAGCCAUUUUGUGGGCUAUAUUACCAUUAAUAAUUAGCUUUGUAUCAAAAGCUAAAUUACCUUCAUAUUCCCGUCAACUCAGUCUGCGACUGUUUGCUCAAGAUGAAUUCUUAUUUACAACUAAAAACACAUUGCCACACGAAUCAGAGUGGAUCAAUGAAAGCAAUAAUAUUUACACAUUCUCUCAUUUUCUAUCUUGUUUUUUUUGCUUUCACCAUUCCACUCUCUUAGCCUCAAGACUGAGAAGAUUCCUUUGUAUUCUAUUCUCUCUUUCAGUAAUUUUCCUGGAUCUUUU
rnacentral:lncRNA from 1 species